rnacentral:rRNA from 1 species
GGGGAAUAUUGCACAAUGGGGGAAACCCUGAUGCAGCCAUGCCGCGUGUGUGAAGAAGGCCUUCGGGUUGUAAAGCACUUUCAGUCAGGAGGAAAGGUGGCUAGCUAAUACCUAGUUGCUGUGACGUUACUGACAGAAGAAGCACCGGCUAACUCCGUGCCAGCAGCCGCGGUAAUACGGAGGGUGCAAGCGUUAAUCGGAAUUACUGGGCGUAAAGCGCACGCAGGCGGCUUGUUAAGUCAGAUGUGAAAGCCCCGGGCUCAACCUGGGAACUGCAUUUGAAACUGACAAGCUAGAGUCUUGUAGAGGGGGGUAGAAUUCCAGGUGUAGCGGUGAAAUGCGUAGAGAUCUGGAGGAAUACCGGUGGCGAAGGCGGCCCCCUGGACAGAGACUGACGCUCAGGUGCGAAAGCGUGGGGAGCAAAC